GAUUAAAGCUUCGAGUGGACGCGUUCCCGGCUACGACAUUUCACAUCAAUAAAGCAACGUGGGUCAGAUAAAAGUCCUGUGCCCACCUUACAGAUGUUGGAAGUGACCACGUGUUCGUGCCAUUUCUUGGCCACAGAAAUAUUCUUUUCCGUGAUCCAUUUAUACAGUCUGGUUGCUCAUAGACAGCACCUCCUUCCUUUCUGCACGACUUUUCAACUCUUACCCAGGCGAGGUUUCUGGUUAAUAAGAAGGCUGCCGACUCAACGCUGCUGGACUGGGUGCCGUUCUCUCUCGUGUCGGAUCAGGGCUCUUCCUUGCUGCUUCUCGGUAUUUCAUCAUGGCCUCCUAAGGCAGCUGAGAAGGAAAAGCCAAGGGACCCAGGCCAGCUGGAGAGGACAGGUCAGAGCCAUGGGCUGGUCACGCAGCCAGCCGAGGGCCACGGGCACGCAGGUGAAGCUCGUUUUAGGAAUUAGCGAGAACGUGACGGGCUUCAGAAAGGGGCAGACUCACCAGCUACUUCCUUGUGAAGGAACAUUUGCGGUCUAGAGUGACUGGCCAGGAUGGAGUGACCCAAGUCGUGCCUCCCGCUGUGACACAGCUGGAAAAGCCACCCCCCUCCAAGGCUUGGGGGCGGUGUGGGCAUCUGCCUCAGCAGCUAUGGCACCGUGGACAAGUGGGUGGCACCGUGGACAAGUGGGCCACCUCCCGGGUCCUCAGAUUCCAUGUCCUAACAUGGAGCUGAUGAUAAUUACAUCUCAGAAGCGGAACUCAGGACCCGAUGAGUUUACACCCGCCCAGAACACUGCAGGUGCGUCAUUGAUGUGUACCUGGUCCUCCACUCUGCACCUGUUCUAGCCCCUGACUUCGGAGCUGUGACGUCAGACCAGUGGUUCCAAGCUUUUAAACCUCAGGUUCUCCCUGCCAGACAUUUCUGGGAGCAUUGAGGAGAAGGGCUGGGGCGCCCUCGCCCGCAGUGACACAUCGUGAGUCGUCGGCAGCCUGUGGACGUGAUGAGCCUCUGUGGUGCAGGCGGUGGGGGAUUUCACGACCCACCGCUGAGCAGGCACUGGCGCCCUGACCUUUCUUGUAAAAUCUUUACUUUUGCACACAAGGCACUCACUCCGGUUGGCCUCUCCAGCCAAUCUCGUGAUAAUUGCUGACAGAGUGUCCUGGAGCCCAAGCCUCACGUUCGACAAGGGGAGCGCGAGUCCGCGGCGAGGGGGGGGGCGGGCUACGUGCAUCGAGCAAUAGCAGCAUAACAAAGCUCACCACCCAGGUAAACAACCAUCACGGUGAGGACUGAGCUUGGGUGAGGCGCCCAACAUUUUCUCAUAAUCUGUGCCGCCGUGGCAGUCGCUUGCCUUGCAAAGCCACGCAGCCAAGAAAUCUUAGCCUCCUGUUGGCAGUCGAGCACGUAGGCAUAGAGCCCUGGCCCCUCACCGCUGCCAGAGAGGAGGGAUAAUGUCCAGCGCUCUUCCCCAGAAGGAUGUCACACAGACUCCAGUCCCUAGCAACCGGUCUCCUGAUAGAACAGCUGGACGGGAUUCCAGCGUCGAAGGAUCACGAUAAACCACCCUUGGCAUUUUUCUCUCUGUGAGUAAUAUUCAUAGGAUCGCAUUUACAUUUUCUCUGUAAUAAAUCAAAAGCAAGAUGCCCCCGUUUCUAAUUUAUCUUGUGGACUGCUCUAGGGAUAUCUUGCCGCUGAGAAUAUUGCCAAUAUUUCUUUAAAAAUCCUAAGAUACACGGGUUCUGAAUGUUGAAUGUGGCAGUCUCAUUCGUGCCCGAAAACUUUAUUCCGGGAGGGGUGUUUUCUUCACUUUUCGGUUUCUAAAGAAAGCAAUACACAAAUAACGUCAAGCAAGCAUGAACUGUCAACACUAAAAUAUUGACUUUGCUCCAACCCUGUCUUACAAAGGGAAAACAUUAACAAUUGAGAUCAUAAGCAGACCUAUGUACCAAGCGUAUGAAUUAUGAAUCAAAAGACAAAAAUGUGGUUUUUUCCUUUCUGCAUAGACGCAGAACAGGAUAUUAUAACCCUAAGGGAAAAUAGAAGUCAGUGCUCACGAAGCAUUGUAGCUGCGUAUUCGGCAACAAGAAUGUUCCCCUAUUUGCAGCACACAGGACACAGCCAGCAAUCGUGACUGGUUGGUUGACCGGUAACAACGCUGAUUGUAGGAAAUUUCAUGAAUUUGGACUCUGCUACUUUAGAACUUGCGAUGCAGGAGGGCUCUGCUUGAAAAACAUCUUUAUAGAAGCGGCUGGGUGGCUCGGUCGGUUAAGCAUCCGACUUCGGCUCGGGUCAUGAUCUCGCGGUUCGUGGGUUCGAGCCCCACGUCAGGCUCUGGGCUGACGGCUCGGAGCCUGGAGCCCGCUUCGGGUUCUGUGUCUCCCUCUCUCUCUUCCCCUCCUCCCACUCCCACUCUGUCUCUCUCUCAAAAAUAAAAUAAACAUUAAAAAAUGUGUUUAAAUAUCUCUAUAAUCUUUAUGGGGAAAAAAAUCUAUUUAGUAGACAAGCCUUCAUGUAAAUACAAUUACCAGGGACAUGCCCACCAUGCUUAUGAGCACGUGCUGCUUCUAAGAGGCUUGGGACCUUUGUUUCCCUGCGAAUUCUUAUCAUAUGCUAAUUAUAAACCAUAUUAACCUGUGCUUAAUUUUUAUUAUGAAAUAAUAUGGCUUCUUACAAUAGGAAACUGGCUCCAAAGUAUAUAAAAUAAAACGUGAAAUGUU